UCUCUCUCUCUCUCUCGCUCUUUGUGCUGAGAUGUCUUUGACUCAUUCGAUCAUUUAAUUAAUCUAUUGGCUUCUAUUUCUCUUGUGUUUGGAUUUAGGUUUGUGUGUGUGCAUGUUUGUGUUUGGAUUUCUCUCAGGUGUGUGCUCAGGCAUGUGUUUAUGUGUUAGAAAAACAAAUGGUGCACCAAAACACAAAAUCUUAAGUUGAAUGAUGAUGACUAAAGGAUAGACUUGCUGGCAUGGUCAUUGGAUAGAAUGUAUCCUGUUUCUUAGGAAAAUUUUUACUUAUAGUUAUCUUUUCUAUAUGGUAUAGCCGUACGACCGGCCAUGUUAUAUGGUAGUGAGUGUUGGACACUGAAAGAGUCGUAUGCGUAUAAGAUAAGAGUUGCAGAGAUGAAAAUGUUAAGGUGGAUGAGUGGCCAAACUAGACUAGAUAAAGUCCGUAA
rnacentral:misc_RNA from 1 species